GGAUACUUACUAAAACAAUAUAUGAAAGUAAUGAGAAAGUGGCCACUUUCAUGAGUAAAUCAUAUAAGUUUUUACUAUUUCUUUUCCAUAUGGGGUGCUAGUAAACAUGUCGCUUUUGCCUGGUUUCUUUUAACGCAGAGAAAAAUCCAAGUGAGCUCCAAGCGAAGCAAAAUUCCUCACUACAAAUCACAUGAGAAUUUUCACUCCGCUUAUUGGCCAGAUGGAUUUGCGGAAGGAGCAAUAACAGUAAACUACAGCAAGAAGGUGCUGUGUUCUGGACAUUUGGAGAACAUGGAAGAUUUUGGGCUUUUUUUUUCACAGCUAAUUGCUAGCCCAUACAGACCUUUGCACAUCUAUAAACAAACUGCUCUGUAGUUCAUUUGGAGCCGCACUGAGACCAACAUCUUCAAAGGGUCUCGAAUUGGUUGUUUUUGUCCACACCUGCGUGCGAUUAUUGUGUUCACAAUCUAUAAAAGUGAACCACACCAAGGGGAAAAACAAACCAGAGUUCGGUUUUAAACAUCGGUUAGGGACUAUAGUGGAUAUCUAGAAGGUAUCUUUGGACCGCUUCCCACUUGUUUAAGAGAAGUUGCCUUGAGCAGGACAAAGGGGUAGCUGUCGAAGCAGUUUUUCAUAAAAAUCCAGGGUGUGCAGACGAUACUAUUCCAGUAGUUGCUGAAGUGCUGAAUGGAAGGUGAUCCUGAUAAUUAAGAGGACAUUUAUUAGCCCAGUUUUGCUCUUGGACGAGUGCUUCAGGGUUCCACGAUUAGUUUAAUUAAAAUAAGCUGAUUGGAACAUGAGCUGAUGAUGUCAUUCAGAGGACAUUUAGUAGCCUAGCACUAUCUCAAAAGUUGACAUCCCAUCUGAAAUCAAUAAAGUUUGAAUUAGGCUUAUAUUAUAAAAUAUUAUAUAUAAUAUUUUACACUGGGGCUCAUAUUCUGUUGCCCUUUAGUCGAGGCAACACAAAGGUCUAUCACCGAAGUUUUCUUUCCAAGACAGUAUUUACCAAAGCAUAGGAAAUACUAACUAGAUUUAGCCCUCUGUAACUACCGAUUGCAUGUAUUUAGCUGUUGAUUCACAUAAACGUAGAGACUAUAAAGGGGAUGGAUAUAAAAUUAAAUCAUAUUUUUUAUAUUCAGUGAUGUAAUCCAGCAUAUUGGCGAUAAACAUUAGGUUUGAUUGAAGGCUGAUUGGCUAUUUGUGACUGAUGUAAUUACUGGGUUAAUUGUUUUUAGAUUUGUGCCUGAUCAACAUUCAAGACACCAAAUGUGACAUAAUUAACUAAUCUCUAAAGGCGUUUUUAUGAGGAUAAGUGUACUGAACAGAGUGAUACUUGGCUUCAUUCAUGGAAAACGUGACUGCACAAUGUCCUACACCUGCACAUAAAGCAACCCACCUGCACUGGUCAGCUUUGGCUUUUAUUAGAAAUCACAUGAGCAUACAUUCCUUUCCGAUGCUUUGUUAUAUAGUGUUACUCUAUGUAUUGCGCCGGUUUGGACAGUGGGACAUGCAGCUAAAGCUGUCAAGCUCACAUUACCAUGAAAGCCACUGUUGUUUAGAAAGAAUAGUGUAGGAUCUUUUUCAAGCUACAGCCACACACAAAUGAAAGGAAAUUUUUAUCAGUCAGCAAAGUGGAAAAGUAACUGAUUGAUUUAAGAUGACUUGAGGUAAUACGUUAAAUCAAGCACAAAAGCACAUUGCGUGUCAGGGGCCGUGAAUUCAUUUCUUUUGUACAACUCUCACAGCGUGUUGUCAGCUAAGGACUGCCCGGCAUAGUGUCACGUUUGUUAGUGGUCAGUGUGGUUUUUGCAGGGCUGGCUCAUCCUUUAUUUUCUUUCCUUGUCUGCCUUUCCUGCAAAAGGAAACGAUGCAGACCAAAUAUUGCUGUUGUGCAGUACUAAGUUCAUAACAAUAGGGAUCCAUGCAGCCGUUUCUACUUAGAUGUUUGUCUUGUCUCAGUUCCUCUUAACUCAGUGGCUGUUCAAAAGAAAAGGGAUUUGUGUUGUUGUCGUGCUCGUAUUUUAGUAACAUAUUUUAAUACUGUCUAAAAAAGCUAACACAUUUAAAAGCUACAGAUUUAUGAUUUUAUUGCUACUUUAGCAAAUGUUUUAAGAGGCAAGUCUUGCUAUUAUCGUCUAUCCCAGUUCCAUCAAUAUAGGAAGUUAGUAAGUAACUGUAUCCUGUACUUUAAAGCUGGCAAAAGAGUUUAAGUGAGCUGGUAGAUGGAGUGAAAACUGUGGGUGUGGGUAAUCAGGUGAAGUUUCUCUGCCUUUUCCCCAGUAAUUGGUGUUACAUAAUCACGACUAUUGUUUAGGUUCUCUUUUGUGUUGGCUCCUGGCCAGUGUCUGGCUUUCUGUUCCUGCUGCCUAGGACUAUUUGACAAAUCGCUUAUUUUGAAAGCCGUAAUAGAUAAAGUUUUGCAGCUAAUUGGCCCCCCAAUGUAAUUACAGUGCAAAAAAAAAGACAA